rnacentral:lncRNA from 1 species
UUAAUUUUCCCAACCAUACAAAAGCUAAUUCUUUCCGGACCUAAACUUCUCUCUAACCCAACCAGCCGCACACCCCAUUCCCCACCUUGUUGCCGUCCCAAACUCGCUGGAAAACUCACCAAAACCGGCGAGUUCACUCAACGAGCCACCAAAUGGGCCCCUCUCACUUUUCACGUCACCCGAUCCCUAACGAACCCCUGACAAGAGAAUAAUUUCUCGCUUCCUCAUACGUUUUUUUAUCUCUUGACAAAUUUGGGUAAAUGUUAGCCAUAGGAUCUGAGGAUUUUAAGAUCCUAGGCUUCCAUUUGUCCGAUUUGAUUCAAAAAGAGGGGAAAAAUUAAUUUUUGGAAAGAGGUUCUAGAGAUUUCUUGACUUGAUGAAGAGGGUUCGAGGUGAGUAUAUAUAGGUUUACACACGUUAUUUUGGGAUUUUUCGGACAAAAAAUUGGAAAAAAGUUAUAGGGUUUAAGAGAAAGCUUCUUCUCUUCUAGAUGAUUUGUCUUGAGAUUUGUCUAAGCCUUCUUUCGAAAAAAAUGUUUCUAUUUUGAGUGUAAUUGGCGUUUGAGUAUUAGUAAAGGAAGUUCAAAGGGAAAUUAUCAAAAGUAUUUAGUUUUCCUUCUCUGUUUUCUUUUAAUCCUAUAUCAAGGAAGAAAAAUCAGAAUUAAAAAUAGAGCUAAGCUGAGGUUUGAAGCUGAGUCGAGGCGUCGUUCGAACUCGAGCUCGCGGUUCCAGAUUCGUUUGUCGUUGUUCCAUUCGUUUCCGGUUGAUUUCGUUGUUCAAUCUUCUGCUUGUAUCUUCUUCCUCCGGACAGAAAUAUAUUGGAAAAUUUCACUUCAGGUAUCCUUUAUCUUUCUUACUUUUAUUAGUUGAUGGUGUUGAUCAAAGUGUAAUGAGAGCCUGGGAUAAAUAGUUAUAAUUAGUUUGAAUUUUAGCUCAAUCGGGAUAAGAUGAGUGGGUUUGAGCAUUACUAGGGGCAGAUGUUUGCGAGUUUCGUAGUGUUGAAUUUGUAUGAAUUAUUUUUCAUUACGUGUGUUCUAUUUCACUUUUGGGUCAGUUUUAACAUGCUAGAUCGCAGAUCGAGUCGAUAUUACGAUCAAUGAUUUGGUAUUUGAUUGCUUGAAAUUCCAUACAGGAGCAUUGGUAUUUGAUUGCUUGAAGUUUUACACAUGAAUAUGGAACCUAUUCGAUUAACCUUCCUGUUAUAGCUCAAGUUGAUUCGGUGUUUGAAGUUUCCUCAUCUAUUUGAUGUCAAUGACCUGUUCAUACUCUCUAAGGCAUGAGUCUUUAAGAUUUUAUCUCGAAGGUCGUUAAAGGCUAAAUUAAACUCUUACCCAUUUGAGCUUGGAGAUAGAACUUUUGUUAAAUGUUUGGUGCUGAAGCGAAAAUGCAAGAUCUAUGGUUAAUACGGUUCAACUGAUUUUUCUACAACUUGCAUGCGAUUCUUUAUUCAUUAUGCGUAUUUGUGAAGGAAUUGAGUGUAUACUGCUGCAUCCGGUUGCAUUUUCAUUGUCCAUAUCUUUUGAAAGUUCUCACCUAUUUCCUUCUAAGUAUAUGCAUAUGAACUUGUUACCUCAUCUGGCUUGCUGGUUCUAAUUAGAAAUAUUUAGGUUGGUGUCAAGAAAAGUUUUCGGUUCAUUAUUGUCUUGUUAUUCUCUCGGCGACAUGGGUAAUUAACUGACCAUGUUGACUAUAAAAGAUAAUUUUUCGUAUAACCUUAAGCUUUUAACCAGUUUUGGACAUAUCUUUGUUGACUCUCAUGCUUUAAAUCUGUGUUCCACACAUCCAAGUAAUGAAGUGAAAGUUUAAGUCGAUAUAUGCAGUGUCGUCGGCCUUCUCAUAGCUGCUAAGUCCUUAUAAUUGUUUAAAAUGUCAUUGUUCGCGUUUGAGUCAAUAGGGCCAGUAUUCUUUUGAUGUCAGGAUCAGUGUAACUGUUUAAAAUUCUUAAAACUUGCUUGUGUGGUUGGAGUGCCUCAUGUUUACAUGUUCCGUUGAUUCGUCAUGUGUCGACGCAAGCAUGCACAAUUCCCUGAUAAGUUUAUUAUGUUCUCUUACUCUUCGGAUAGAUGUCAUGUUUUGCCUAAUGAGAUCGUGAUUGGAGUUACUCUUCUGAGAUCUGAAAAUGAGAGAUAUGUUAGAAUUGGGGGCUAGUUAGCUAAACUUUAGGUGGCUGUUAUCAUACUUUGAUCUACCACUUCUUAAUCUUAUUUUUCCUCUGCUUUGUCGAAUUGUUAUAUUUUCUGUGAGGACUACUAUUUUUGUGUGAGGAGAUGAUUUAAAUGAACUAUUUUGAAUGAUUUUUGGGUCGUGGGAAUUGGGAUAGGACCAGCCCAUUAGAUACAUAAUUUAUUCUCAUGUUUUAGGAUUGAGUUUGGUCAAAUGUAUAAAAUGAAAAGUUAAAAGAGCAUGAGAUGAAUUUUCUUUUAGUUUUCUUUUAUUUACUUUAAUUUAUUUUCUAUUUACAUUGUGCGCUAGUAUCAUGUUUAGGCCGAUCACAUUGGAUAGGCAAAUAUUAGGUCGUUUCUUUUUUCUUUGAGGCUAAAGGUUGUCCCUUAGUUUAUUGUUUUAAUUGGGAAAUGUUCCGAAGAUCUUAUAAAUAUUUAAUCAAGGUCUUCAAGGGACUUGGGAAUGCCUAAUACCCUUUCCCGAGUCAAAUGAACCCCCUUACUUGGGAUUUUUGGUGCAUUGACUUGAUACAUCGAAACCAAAUGUUAAGUGACGAUUCUGAAAAUUCCUUAAAACACAAUUUUUGUCACUUUCAGUUAAAACCCUUUUGAUCUUAAAAAAUACUUUAUUCUUUUUAAAAUGGUAAGGAAAAAAAUGUAGGGGUGUGAUAGCACUCAACUAGUAUCAUAUUAUGAAAUAUUAUGUUUGGAUUGACGUUCAUAUCAUCCAAAACUUCUAGCCGUUCAAGCUCAAUAAAAGUAUGCAUCAUUUCAAAUAAAAAGUUAUGCAAAUAACAUCGUUCAUUGAAAUACACGUUUCCUUUUCCCCAUAGUAAAUGUAAUUUUUUAUUUUCAUAUUUGUAGUGUAUAGUUGUGAUACUUUUACAAGAUAAAACCUUUAACAUUACAAAAAACAUAUGUUAAUAAUAUUUAUUGAUAUUGGUUAGAGUUAUUUCAAGUUAUUAAAAUAUUAGCUAUGUAUUGUAAUACAUUACCUUUGAUCUUAUUGUCAAAAACCUUAUUGACAAUUAUGAAGAUUUGAGUAGUUUAAUUCAAAGUCAUACUUUAGUAAAAUGUUUGUCAAAAGGUAUAUGUCCAUGUGGUUGGAGUGAAUUAAAGAAAAAUAGGUACUGCUACUGAUCUAUGGCUUUGUUGAAGAUACUAGUAGAGAAAUAGUAGACUUUGGACUAGAAGAUUUUACAAUUCUAAGGGAUUUUGGUGAUGAGCAAGAAGAUUGGUUUGAUGAAAAGCUCCAUAGCAAAAUUGAGCUACGUAUAAGUCUCUUAUUGCACAGAAAAUAUAUUUUUGAUAGAAAAAAGAUAUUGGUUUUGUAAUAUCAGAUUUAC